rnacentral:misc_RNA from 1 species
GUUUGGGCCUUCGAUCAACUUCUUAUCAACAAAAAUGGACUUGCUUCCAUUCAACACAACUGUGGUGAUUGUCUCAACCAAGUGAGGAAUCCAAGCAAUCCCAUUUGGAAGAACCUUUUCAUCUUUUUCAUUCUUGUGGCAACGUCCACUGUUCUCAACCAAAACAACUGGAAUAUUCGACCCCUGAAUAUCAUUUUUGUUGAAAGAGGCACCA